UAAUUAGUGCGUCCUGGUAGAGCGCCAUCGAAACGUUUCAUAUUAAAAUUCGUCGUCACUUUAUUAACAACCGCUUAAAUUAAAAUGCACGUUUACCGACGAAUUAAAUUUCCGCUCGUUUUUUGCUACUUCGACAAUAUUCUAUUUUCGUAUUAGCGUUUAUUAAAAUUUUAUGCGAAAGUACGAAUUCAAUUCAAUUUAAUUCGGGUCAUUAAAAAGCGGAAGUACCCAAAUAAUUCGUUGCGUAUCGAUCGAGACCUUCGCAAGAAUGUUAGGAAUCUAAUUUGGACCAAUAGGAAGCGGGAAUACCCGAAGAAUACGCAGCGACGCGAUAUGUACGUUGCAACAAUGUAAUAUGAUGUUGAACAAUGAUUAAUGAAUAUCGUUUAGACCAUUAGGAAGCGGGAGUUCCCGAAAAAUUCAAUAAGCAUCGAUAGGGACCUUCGCAAGAAUGUAAGAAAUCUCAUUCGGGCCAAUAGGAAGCGGGAAUACCUGAAGAAUGCGCAGCGAAGCGAUAUGUACCAACGGAAGAAUGUAAAGAAUAUCGCUUAGACCAUAGGUUUCCAAAGUGGUCCAGGUGGACCCCCAGGGGUCGAGACCACACGGGGGCCCACGUGGACGUGAAAAGAAAACAGGGGCUCAUAAGUUGUAAGGGGCGGUCGACAAAAAAUUUGCUGGUUUUCAUAAUGAACAAAAGUUUUGGCUCGGAUUUAGCUAUUAACAUAGGAAGGUAGCAUCAUUCACUAGGUAGGUACUCAAAAAUAUGCGAAGAUACUCAAAAAAAUUACUCUGUUCAAACACAUAAUUAAAUAGAACAAUAGAUAAUAGUACGUAAAAAAAGUAAAGAUACAUAGAUAUAAGUGUACACCACAUGUCGAGACUUGCAAAGUGCCGCCCUUGCGCCCUCUCGUCCGGGAUGCUUGUUUAGACCUGCAAAGGGAUGAAAUGCGACUUGCGCUGUGCUUGCAAUCUACAUUAGUACAACUACGAAUGCCAAAAACAAAACGUUACUCAUUUGGUUUUGGGAUUUUGAACAUGAAAGUGUGACUGUGAGUGAAUCGAUGCCAGUGUUUACAGUGCCGGAAAAAGUCACAACUGAUACGAAAUAUGGCUGCAUUUAAGAAUAAAUGUCGACAGUACAGUGUUGAUUAUUUGAAAUUUGAUUUGCUUCCAUCAACGUAUUACAAGAGGAGCUACUUGAGCUCAGCACCAACGAGGAACUGAUGGUGAAAUUUAAGAAAGGCUAUCAAACAUUUUGGCUGCAGGUAGAAAUCCCCGAAAAAUAUUCUGGGCUAUGGGAAAUUGUGAGAAAAUGGUUGAUAGCCUUUCCCUCGUCCUAUCUUGUCGAAAGAAGUUUUAGUGCCGUUACCAACCUGUUAACAAAAAAGGAGCAGGUUGAACAUUACAGAACGGGGAGAUUUGAGAUUACUUACAAAACUGCAGUCAAAUAUUGAUAAUUUGCUGUGAAUUCAUCAAGUACAUCCGUCUCAUUAAAAGUAUGAGUAUGAGAAAGUAUUGUUGAUUUACAUUUCAGAGUUCAUUGUCGACUGUUUGUAAUAAUAAAUAUUUAUAAUCUUGUAUAACCACAAGUAUUAUUUUAAUAAAAAGGACACCGGAAAA